AUCGCUUCUCGGCCUUUUGGCUAAGAUCAAGUGGAGAAACUGCAUGUCUAAAAAUGUCUUUGUUUCCCUUCAAUACUUAAUUGAUAAUUGAGCAGAAUAUGAAAUUAUAGGUGGGAAUCAUUUCCCUCAGGAUUUUGAUGCCUCACUCUAUUUUCUUCUAGCUUCUGAUGUUUUUAUUGAGCAGUCUGAGGCAAUUCUGA
ensembl:snRNA U2 U2 spliceosomal RNA